AUUAACCUGGCAGAUAAGUGCGUUGGAUUUAAGUUCCAGAUAUUGACGUUAAUA
rnacentral:tRNA from 1 species